rnacentral:lncRNA from 1 species
GAUCCUUGAAAAGUGACUGCAUCAUGGGGCUGUAUCCUAAUAAGUCUGGAACGUUUUUUCUUAGAGUUCCAGAAUUGAGACUGAAGUGUACCCAGAGACACAAAGAAAUACAGAAGUCCAGAAUGAUCAAAUGAGAUCACUACCCAAUGAAAUGAUGGGCCGAGGAGCCAGAAGUUGUCCUACUACCUGCUUUCCAGGUCCAGAUUCCACGAGAGCCUUCUGGGCUCCCACCAGAGACCCUCAGUGAAGACUCUGUUGAAGACUUUAAGACCAUGCUAGAAAGCCUCCCGGCAGAGGUUCAGGAAGUUCUGCUAUGAGGAUGCAGCUGGCCCCAGGGAUGUCCUCAGGCAUCUCUAGGACCUUGCUGGACGGUG